AACGCACGAGACCUGCGGACCUGCGGAAGGAUCAUUAUCGAGUUACUCAACUCCCAAAACCCUGUGAACUUUACCACUGUUGCUUCGGCGGAGUCGUCCCGGGUGCGCUCGAAAGGGCGUGUCCCGGAUCCAUGGCGCCCGCCGGGGGACCUAAACUCUUGUUUUUAUAAUGGUAUCUUCUGAGUGGCAUAAGCAAAAUAAAUCAAAACUUUUAACAAUGGAUCUCUAGAUCGGAAGAGC
rnacentral:misc_RNA from 1 species